GUUAUAUGAUCAAGCGACCAAGCGCGCAUGGUGGAUGCCUUGGUGGUAAGAGGCGAUGAAGGACGUAGUAGCUUGCGAUAAGCCUCGGGGAGCCGGCAAACAGGCUUUGAUCCGGGGAUUUCCGAAUGGGGAAACCCGACUCUUCGGAGUCAUCUCACACUGAAUUCAUAGGUGUGUGAAGCGAACCUGGCGAACUGAAACAUCUAAGUAACCAGAGGAAUAGAAAUCAACCGAGAUUCUCUUAGUAGCGGCGAGCGAACGGGGAUCAGCCUGCAAGUAAUAGCAGAGACGUUAGUGGAACGGUCUGGAAAGUCCGGUCACAGAGGGUGAUAACCCCGUACACGAAAGCGACUCUGUGGUACUAAGCUUGCGACAAGUAGGGCGGGACACGUGAAAUCCUGUCUGAACAUGGGGGGACCAUCCUCCAAGGCUAAAUACUACUUACCAACCGAUAGUGAACCAGUACCGUGAGGGAAAGGCGAAAAGAACCCCUGUUAGGGGAGUGAAAUAGAACCUGAAACCGUGUGCGUACAAGCAGUGGGAGCCUGGCUUCGGCCGGGUGACUGCGUACCUUUUGUAUAAUGGGUCAGCGACUUACAUCUCAGUGGCAAGCUUAACCGUAUAGGGUAGGCGUAGCGAAAGCGAGUCUUAAUAGGGCGUCAUAGUCGCUGGGAUUAGACCCGAAACCGGACGAUCUAGCCAUGGCCAGGUUGAAGGUCGGGUAAUACCGACUGGAGGACCGAACCAACUGAUGUUGAAAAAUCAGUGGAUGAGCUGUGGCUAGGAGUGAAAGGCUAAACAAGUCCGGAGAUAGCUGGUUCUCCCCGAAAACUAUUUAGGUAGUGCCUCGUGUCUCACUUCUGGGGGUAGAGCACUGUUAUGGCUAGGGCUACGUCUAGUGGUACCAAACCAUUGCAAACUCCGAAUACCAGAAAGUGCAAUCACGGGAGACAGACGGCGGGAGAUAAGUUUCGUCGUCGAAAGGGAAACAGCCCAGACCGCCAGUUAAGGUCCCCAAAUCACAACUAAGUGGGAAACGAUGUGGGAAGGCCCAGACAGCCAGGAGGUUGGCUUAGAAGCAGCCACCCUUUAAAGA
rnacentral:rRNA from 1 species